UACGGAGGAUCCAAGCGUUAUCCGGAAUUACUGGGCGUAAAGAGUUGCGUAGGUGGCAUAGUAAGCAAAUAGUGAAAGGCUACGGCUCAACCGUAGAUCCAUUAUUUGAACUGCUAAGCUAGAGCACAAGAGAGGUACCUGGAAUUCCCAGUGUAGGAGUGAAAUCCGUAGAUAUUGGGAGGAACACCGAUGGCGUAGGCAGGGUACUGGCUUGUUGCUGACACUAAGGCACGAAAGCGUGGGGAGCGAACGGG
rnacentral:rRNA from 1 species